CCUACGGGAGGCAGCAGUGAGGAAUAUUGGUCAAUGGACUAGAGUCUGAACCAGCCAAGUAGCGUGAAGGAUGACUGCCCUAUGGGUUGUAAACUUCUUUUAUAUGGGAAUAAAAUGUUACACGUGUGGGAUUUUGUAUGUACCAUAUGAAUAAGGAUCGCCUAACUCCGUGCCAGCAGCCGCGGUAAUACGGAGGAUCCGAGCGUUAUCCGGAUUUGGUGGGUUUAAAGGGAGCGUAGGUGGAUUGUUAAGUCAGUUGUGAAAGUUUGCGGCUCAACCGUAAAAUUGCAGUUGAAACUGGCAGUCUUGAGUACAGUAGAGGUGGGCGGAAGUCGUGGUGUAGCGGUGAAAUGCUUAGAUAUCACGAAGAACUCCGAUUGCGAAGGCAGUUCACUGGACUGCAACUGACACUGAGGCUCGAAAGUGUGGGUAUCAAACAGGAUUAGAUACCCCUGUAGUC
rnacentral:rRNA from 1 species